GAGAGUUCACAGCUCGGUAAAAAAAAAUUCUAAAUUUUGUAGUUUUUUUUCGGCAAUAUUUAUUUGACUAGAUAUUAAGAAUAAAGUGAUAUUUUUUUACAACUAAUUUAAGCAAAAAGUGAAAAACACAAUCAACUAACAAAAGACAGUGAAAAGAAAACAACAAAAAUGUUCGUGGGGCAGAGAACUCACAGCUCGAAAAAUAAUAAAUGCAACAAUUAACAGCUCAACACCAAUCAAAUACCGCGAAAAAUACUCUGGGGUCUCACUUUAGAUGGCAGUAGGUUUUCCUCGGGGUCCAAUGGAUGCUGGAUCAUAGACGACUAAUACAACAAUCAAUCAACACCAAUCAAAUAACGCGAAAAAUACUCUGGGGUCUCACUUUAGAUGGCAGUAGGUUUUCUUCGGGGUCCAAUGGAUGCUGGAUCAUAGACGACUAAUACAACAAUCAACACCACCCGUUCAGCAUUAAACAAUAAUCAAAAAAAAAACUGCGAAAAAGACACUAUAGAGUUGUUCCCACAGCUGGCAGGAGGUCGUCCUUGGAGUCUAACGGAUGUACAAUCGGAUACACGGUCAAACACGUUCACGAGUGCGAACUACAUAUACUAAACACACUAUACUAUAUUUUGAUACUAAUAAUUAUAUAUUUUUAUACCAAAAACAAA
rnacentral:sRNA from 1 species